rnacentral:lncRNA from 1 species
AGUAGCCACAAAUGAUGUGAAGUUCCUGCACACUGCAAGUCAGUAUUCUAACUAAACAUAGUGACUUUGGCAACGCCAGCGCCUGUGCUCUUGACUGCUCACCCUUACCAUCCAACUUAAUCAGAGGCAGAUCUGGCCUUUUACUCAACGGUAUCUACUAAGCACCCACCAGUGAACCAGUGCCAUUCUCAGCACUAGGGGUACAAUGGUGAAGACAGAAGAGGCCCCUGUUCUCGUGGACUCUCCAGUCUGACACUAACAAAUAAGUGCAGAAUUGCUUACAUACACAAUUAGUUACGCAAUCGAUUCCAAUUGUAUGCUUUGGAAAAGAAUAGGGUGCUGAUGAUUAAUGACAACAGGAAGACCUUCUGGGAGGAAGUCAAAGGUCUCCCUGAGGUGAUAGCCCGGCUGGGAUCUGAAGGCUAAGAAAAAGGUGACCAGGGGCGCCUGGGUGGCGCAGUCGGUUAAGCGUCCGACAUCAGCCAGGUCACGAUCUCGCGGUCCGUGAGUUCGAGCCCCGCGUCGGGCUCUGGGCUGAUGGCUCGGAGCCUGGAGCCUGUUUCCGAUUCUGUGUCUCCCUCUCUCUCUGCCCCUCCCCCGUUCAUGCUCUGUCUCUCUCUGUCCCAAAAAUAAAUAAACGUUAAAAAAAAAUUUUAAAAAAAUAAAAAAAUAAAAAAAAAAUAAAAAAAAAAAAAGAAAAAGGUGACCAGGCAAAGCCAGAGAAGAGCGGGUUGGACUCGCCUUCCAGUCACAGAGAACAGUAGUUAGCACGAAGGCAGGAAGGAGACAUGCCUAGGGCCCUCGGGAGGGCAUAUGUGGCUGGAGGCCAGACAAGAGGGCACGUGAGGGGCAGUAACGGAUGAGGCUGUGAUAAGGAUGCAUGGCUUCAUCAUGAUAAAAGCUCUCCUCAUGCCUCAUUUUCUAAUCCUCUCCCACCAGGUCUGGUUCUGCUCAAAUCUCUGCAGCAAAGCUGCCAAAACGAUCUUUCCAAUAACCCACAAACCUGAUCGUGUCCCUUCCCUGCUCAAAACAUUUCAAUGGCUCUUCACCUUCCACCUCCCAAAGACUUAAUUCAUGUCUUCACUAACUGAACCCCCACUUUGUUCAGGUGCCCACUGUUCCCCAACCCCGCCAUGUACCGCAGGGAAGAGCUGGCUCUGCCCCCAGCUCUGGGUCUGACUGAUCUAUGAGGAUGUCUCUCCUACUUCCCCAGAAGUUCAAGAAUGGGGAAGUAGAGCCGUGAAGGGUGCUUGGAGAAGUUCCCUUACUUUUAGAGAGAGAGUCACAGAAAGCCACUAUUGCUGACAAGACAUGAAGGAGGAAGUGCAGAGAGGCCCAACCACUUAAGCCAGCCAAUUAAUUGCAAGCAGAGGCAAUCAACCAGAGGCUAUUGGCUGAGGCCAAUAUAGUACAGAUGGAAAGACCCUGGGUCCUUACUGACGUCCUGAACGUUUAAUUAACCAACCCUAGAGCCUGCCUUACCCCUGAACUUCCUG